rnacentral:rRNA from 1 species
AUUGAACGCUGGCGGAAUGCUUUACACAUGCAAGUCGAGCGGCAGCGCGGGGCGAACCUGGCGGCGAGCGGCGAACGGGUGAGUAAUACAUCGGAACGUGCCCAGACGUGGGGGAUAACUACUCGAAAGAGUGGCUAAUACCGCAUACGAUCUACGGAUGAAAGCGGGGGAUCGCAAGACCUCGCGCGUCUGGAGCGGCUGAUGGCAGAUUAGGUAGUUGGUGGGAUAAAAGCCUACCAAGCCAACGAUCUGUAGCUGGUCUGAGAGGAUGAUCAGCCACACUGGGACUGAGACACGGCCCAGACUCCUACGGGAGGCAGCAGUGGGGAAUUUUGGACAAUGGGCGAAAGCCUGAUCCAGCCAUUCCGCGUGCAGGAUGAAGGCCCUCGGGUUGUAAACUUCUUUGAUGAGGGACGAAGGAAGUGACGGUACCUCAAAAACAAGCCACGGCUAACUACGUG